ACGGAAGGCAGCAGUGGGGGAUAUUGCACAAUGGGCGAAAGCCUGAUGCAGCGACGCCGCGUGAGGGAAGACGGUUUUCGGAUUGUAAACCUCUGUCUUCGGGGACGAAAAAGGACGGUACCCGAGGAGGAAGCCACGGCUAACUACGUGCCAGCAGCCGCGGUAAUACGUAGGUGGCAAGCGUUGUCCGGAAUUACUGGGUGUAAAGGGAGAGUAGGCGGGAUUGCAAGUCCGUUGUUAAAUCUAUCGGCUCAACCGGUAGCUGCGGCGGAAACUGUAGUUCUUGAGUGAAGUAGAGGCAGGCGGAAUUCCUAGUGUAGCGGUGAAAUGCGUAGAUAUUAGGAGGAACACCAGUGGCGAAGGCGGCCUGCUGGGCUUUAACUGACGCUGAGGCUCGAAAGUGUGGGGAGCAAACAGGAUUAGAUACCCUGGUA
rnacentral:rRNA from 1 species